GGCUGGGGAAUUCUGGGAGUUGAAGUCCACAUGUCUUAAAGUGGCUAAGUUUGGAGAGCCUUGGACUAACUUAACUCCUUCACUGCUCUGCAGGGUGGUGGCCCUUGAAAGUUUCCGAUUCCCAUAGCCAGUUUUCAGUACGCCAUGGAUUUAGUGUGUGUGUGUGUGUAUAUUUAUAAACCAAAUCUGGAACUGAAGACACACGGGGGUCUAUUCUCCUCUACUUUUCCCAUGUUCUCUGGGACGUCCUUCCCCACCUUGGUGCCCUUCCCUUCCCCAGAUGUAUAGGGACUAACUACCACAACAACAACCACAACAAAAAGGCACACCCAGUGGGAAUGGGAGACGCUUCUCCACAUAGCUGGUAGGCUGCCCUAAAAUCUUAAGGGAUUCCCUUUGUCUGUUCUGCUGCAAAUAUUUUCCUUUUUUUUUUUGACUUGCUGCUCUUGCUACCAGACCAAAUUCUCUUCCAUCCUUGGCAUGAAACUUUGUACAAAUUUCCUAGAUGAUUGGAUAUUGUACCAAACUCCUCUUUGCGCAAUUACAAAGGGUUCCAGAUUUUCCUCGCUGUCUUCAAAAUUGGCAUAAAUUUGCCCCAAAAGGAACCUGGUUUUCCGUUGGGGCCAAACUAACCAUACAUUUCACUACAGGUAGUCUUCGACUUAAUGACCACAAUGGAGCUUGCCCAUCAUGUGCCAGUCCUAAAAUGGGUCAGUCAUGCAAAGAGCCUGAUUUUAUAAACUUUUUUUUUUUUUUGCCAGGGGGUCAUUAAGCGAAUGCAACGGUCCUAAAGUGGCCACCGUGGUUGUUAAGUGAGCAUAGCAGUCAUUAAGUGAACCAAUGGUUCUUAUGGGCAUAGCUUUGCUGAAAACUGGAAAGAAAUGCUGAUGUUUUUUUCCCCACCCCAGCAAAACGAUCAUAUAAUGCGGUCACAUGAUCGCGAGGCUGCAAGUGGCCUCCAAUGCAAAAGAAAUCCGGUCGUGUGACUGCAGGGGAGGCGACUGUCGGAUCUUCAGAUCUGGGUCAUAAGUAGCCCCCAAAUAGUUCCGUCAUAAGUUGGAAUGGUUGCUUAGCAAACGGUCGCAAGAGUAGGACUACCUGUAUUAGUGGCUGAGAGGGCUCUAACAUGCAUUUCAGCAGGCAUUGAGCUGGGCCUUGGCCAAGCCAGUUACGUCCAGAUAAAUUUCAACUCUAUCUUUAAAAAAAUGGAUUCCUCGCAUAGGAACGAAAACUUCAUUUUGGGGGGAUAAUUCUUGCCGUUCAGCUCUUUUGUACCUUCUUGAAAACUAGUUGAACCUUUUAAACUAGCUAGCAUGGAAAAUUCUCAAAUGAGUACCAGAGUAAAACUCUCUUUGAAUUUCUUCCCAUGAAGCUGGACACUUUCGUGCAGUUUACACACACACACACACAGUAUCCCUUCCACAUUGCUGGUACAACUGUGUGAAGGAUACAAAUUCUAAAUAGCCAAGAACCAAAAUUAAGAAUAUGUUUUUAACAGAAUAACAGAGUUGGAAGGGACCUUGGAGGUCUUCUAGUCCAACCCCUUGCUCAUCUUGCCCCAACCCACAAGUGUUUAAAUGAGUAUUUAAAGCAUCGCUGGCUGGGGAAUUCUGGGAGUUGAAGUCCACAAGUCUUAAACUUGCUAAACACUGUUUUAGCUCUUUAUCUGCUUAGCUUUUUGGCCCUUAUGAUUUAUUUUUUCCCUUGAAAAUAACGAUUGGAAAGAGCAGGGUGAUGGGUGCAAAAAAUCAGAAAACUAUGCAAAAUCGCUGAGAGCAGAGGGUCCAGCCUGAUUCGAAACCCCUGAGGCUAAACAACCUCCCCUCCAGUAGUUUUUAAAAUGUAAUAGCCAUAAUAAACCCAGUUAGUUUGAUUGGAGGUGUGCUGGCCCAGGAUCAGCAAAAUAACUUUUUAAAAAGCCUUACGACUCAGGAAAGAUUUCAAGAUGUUUGAGUGCCUCCUGUCCUCUUUGCUAUUCCACCUCAAAAUAAUGCUUUCUUCGGGAUCUUCAGAAUGCUAGGUGGGUCUUUCACAUUCAGCGAAGAAGAAAAAUACGCAAUUUUUCUUCUUGCUUUCUCGGAAAGGUGGUUAAUAAAAGCCGAGGAGGCCCCCAGAGGACAUCCAUCCAACACACUUCCCCAAAUGGCCUGGCUCCAUUUUUGUCAGGAAG